GUGCAUGUCUGUUUUGAUGGAACACUUUGAAUGUUUGCGCCCCCCUUUUGACAGUCCCUUUCUAUUUGUGCGUAAUCGCAAGAUGAUGCAAGUGAGGGUGCUGUGGCUGCCCAAACUGGAACUACUGUAUCCCCUACGACUGAAGUCUGAUUCGACUGCUCCUCUGGUCACAAUGACCUGUCUGGACUUUGUGCCUCUACAUGUUGACUGCAAUAAAGGACAGAUUUGUAUUU